UACGUAGGGUGCAAGCGUUGUCCGGAAUUAUUGGGCGUAAAGAGCUCGUAGGCGGUCUGUCGCGUCUGCUGUGAAAACUCAGGGCUUAACCCUGAGCUUGCAGUGGGUACGGGCAGACUAGAGUGCGGUAGGGGAGACUGGAAUUCCUGGUGUAGCGGUGAAAUGCGCAGAUAUCAGGAAGAACACCCGUGGCGAAGGCGGGUCUCUGGGCCGUAACUGACGCUGAGGAGCGAAAGCGUGGGGAGCGAACAGG
rnacentral:rRNA from 1 species